rnacentral:rRNA from 1 species
AUUGAACGCUGGCGGAAUGCUUUACACAUGCAAGUCGAACGGCAGCACGGACUUCGGUCUGGUGGCGAGUGGCGCACGGGUGAGUAAUGUAUCGGAAAGUGUCCAGUCGUGGGGGAUAACGUAGUGAAAAUUACGCUAAUACCGCAUACGUUCUAUGGAUGAAAGCGGGGGAUCGCAAGAUCUCGCGCGUUUGGAGCGGCAGAUGUCAGAUUAGGUAGUUGGUGGGGUAAAGGCCCACCAAGCCAACGAUCUGUAGCUGGUCUGAGAGGACGACCAGCCACACUGGAACUGAGACACGGUCCAGACUCCUACGGGAGGCAGCAGUGGGGAAUUUUGGACAAUGGGCGAAAGCCUGAUCCAGCCAUUCCGCGUGCAGGAUGAAGGCCCUCGGGUUGUAAACUGCUUUUGUACAGAACGAAAAGGUUUCUACUAAUACUAGGAGCUCAUGACGGUACUGUAAGAAUAAGCACCGGCUAACUACGUGCCAGCCGCCGCAGUAA